rnacentral:rRNA from 1 species
GACGAACGCUGGCGGCGUGCUUAACACAUGCAAGUCGAACGGAAAGGCCCCUCUUGGGGUACUCGAGUGGCGAACGGGUGAGUAACACGUACGUAACCUGCCCUUGACUUCGGGAUAAAUUCCGGAAACUGGGGGUAAUUCCGGCUAGGAAUCCUUGCUGGAUGGUGGGGGUUGGAAGGAUUCGGCGGUUUUGGGUGGACUCGCGGCCUAUUAGCUUGUUGGUGGGGUAGGGGGUUACCAAGGCUUUGACUGGUAGCCGGCCUGAGAGGGCGACCGGCCACAUUGGGACUGAGGUACGGCCCAGACGCCUACGGGAGGCAGCAGGGGGGAAGAUUGCACAAGGGGCGGAAGGCGUAUGCAGCAACGCCGCGGGCGGGAUGACGGCCUUCGGGUUGUAAACCGGCUUCAGCAGGGGAGAAGGUUGUGGUGACGGUACCUGCAGAAGAAGCACCGGCUAACUACGUG